rnacentral:rRNA from 1 species
CACGUAGGGGGCGAGCGUUGUCCGGAUUUAUUGGGCGUAAAGAGCUCGUAGGCGGCUUGUCGCGUCGUCCGUGAAAACUUGGGGCUCAACCCCAAGCUUGCGGUCGAUACGGGCAGGCUAGAGUUCGGUAGGGGAGACUGGAAUUCCUGGUGUAGCGGUGAAAUGCGCAGAUAUCAGGAGGAACACCGGUGGCGAAGGCGGGUCUCUGGGCCGAUACUGACGCUGAGGAGCGAAAGCGUGGGGAGCGAACAGG